GGAUCUGAAUCCUAGACCCUUUUAGAACGCCAGGGUCGUAGCCUUUCCGCCAAGUCACCGGAGGAGAACCCAUUCCCCCGCCCUUCUCUCCACCGGCCUCCUGCUCCAAACCUCUCUGCUCUGCGCUCUGGGCGUCACCCACUCGAUCGAUAUGAAGAGGCCGAGAUGUGUUCUUCUUCCCGGGAUCUCGAUUUUUCGUCUCGUCCUCAUUUCUUGCGUCUUUCUGUGCUCUAUUCCUAGUAAAGCAAACCAAUUCUCUUCUUUUUCUUUAAAAAAAUGUUAUUUGUAAAUAUUUUGCAUGGAUUUCCCUCUUAUUUAAAGACAGGAAAGAGAAUAAAUUGACUGCAUGCAUUUGGAGAAGUCUAUCAAAUUUUCUUGGGAACAGUUGGGAGAUUUCACAGGUUUCUAAUUCAUAUCGUGAGAGAGAGUAAGAAAGGAUAGAGGUUGGAAACUGCUAAAAUCUAGUUGAAUUUUAGAUAUGAUUUGCAGGAGUAACAGAAAUAAUUAAGAAAAUAAGAGUUGGCUGCCAGUUUGGAUAAUAAUGGUAAGAGGACAGGUUUUGUUUAGGAUAGGUGUGAAAUUAUUAUCGUUCAUCAGAUUCUUUAUUGUUCAUGAGUUUUUUUCUCCUCCGAAAAAAAACUUAAAUAUGAGCUGGAGGGUGUUUCCUAGGUUUGUUUUUUAUGAAUUGUUUUUCGUUUUCUUUGUGCUAUUGCAAUGGUUGAUUUUGUCCCCCAAUUGCAAAUACAUUAUUUUCAGUUCCUUGAAAAUUAAUAUAGGAAUUUGAAGCAAUGAGUCAGAAAAUGAAGAUCAGCUAAAAUUUUUUGGAGCAUGCUUUUCAGAGUCAAAGCAUACGACUAUGCAUGUUGACCUACAGUGCUUGAUUGUUGCAUGGGUAGUUUCUUUACCUAGAGAAAUUUGUGGCUUACUAUAUCAACUACAAACAUUAUGGAAGUUACAUCCAAUCCAAGAGAGAGAGAGGGGUCAUGGAAUACUAGGAAACAUUUGGAUAUUGAGUUAUAAAGGAAUUUGUGGUAGUUGAUAGAAUAGACGAAAUAAUUCAGUGCAAAUGGAAAAGGAUAUUUGCUUUUAUUUUUUUUUGUUCUUGCCAUAUGUAUCUGUUGAUUUAUUAAAAGGUUAAAAUUUGCAAGCACAAUAAAGAUUCAUGGUUCGUGUGGUUUGAUAUCUUUCCAUAAAAUGCUCUCAAGUUGUCAACUUUAAUAGUAUUGGCUUCUAUGAUCAUGGGUGAAGGUUUUAGAGUUUUCAGAUUGGGG
rnacentral:lncRNA from 1 species